UGUGUAUAAGAGUCAGGUGAGUCAUCGAAUCUUUGAACGCACAUUGCGCCCUUCGGUAUUCCGUUGGGCAUGCCUGUUCGAGCGUCAUCGAAGACCCUUCAAGCUCCGCUUGGCGUUGGGCGUCUGUUCGCGCCUCCGUGCGUGCGACUCGCCUCGAAUGUAUUGGCAGCCGGCGGGUCGGCCUCGCGCGCAGCACAUUGCGCAGACUCCGGCCCGCCGCCUCCCCACCAAGCCGCAUCAGUCUGACCUCGGAUCAGGUAGGGAUACCCGCUGAACUUAAGCAUAUCAAUAAGCGGAGGA
rnacentral:misc_RNA from 1 species